rnacentral:misc_RNA from 1 species
GUGAGGGCAUGACCCGUCGUGAUCAUUCUGACGUGUCUAAUCAGCUAUAUGCCAAUUAUGCUAUUGGGAAAGAUGUUCAAGCGAUGAAGGCUGUCGUGGGAGAGGAGGCACUUUCGUCUGAAGAUUUGCUUUACCUCGAGUUCUUGGACAAGUUCGAAAGGAAAUUUGUGAGUCAAGGAGCAUAUGAUACUCGCAACAUUUACCAGUCGCUUGAUCUUGCAUGGACUCUGCUGCGCAUAUUUCCGCGUGAACUCCUCCAUCGUAUUCCUGCAAAGACCUUGGAUCAGUAUUACAGCAGAGACGCCGCCCACUGAGCCAUUGAGCUUCCCCGUGAACUGUCAUGAAUAAGUUGAUGGGGGUAU